rnacentral:rRNA from 1 species
CCUACGGGUGGCAGCAGUGAGGAAUAUUGGUCAAUGGACGAGAGUCUGAACCAGCCAAGUAGCGUGAAGGAUGACUGCCCUAUGGGUUGUAAACUUCUUUUAUAUGGGAAUAAAACGUUCCACGUGUGGGAUUUUGUAUGUACCAUAUGAAUAAGGAUCGGCUAACUCCGGGCCAGCAGCCGCGGUAAUACGGAGGAUCCGAGCGUUAUCCGGAUUUAUUGGGUUUAAAGGGGGCGUAGGUGGAUUGUUAAGUCAGUUGUGAAAGUUUGCGGCUCAACCGUAAAAUUGCAGUUGAAACUGGCAGUCUUGAGUACAGUAGAGGUGGGCGGAAUUCGUGGUGUAGCGGUGAAAUGCUUAGAUAUCACGAAGAACUCCGAUUGCGAAGGCAGUUCACUGGACUGCAACUGACACUGAGGCUCGAAAGUGUGGGUAUCAAACAGGAUUAGAUACCCCUGUAGUC